rnacentral:RNase_P_RNA from 1 species
UGAGUAAAUCGGAUGAUCGCAUGCUUAUUAAAGCAUGAGGAAAGUCCGUGCUCCAUAGGGCAGGAUGCUGGAUAACGUCCAGUGGGGGCGACCCUAAGGAUAGUGCAACAGAAAUAUACCGCCUGGCACUAACUGGUUUAAUGCCAGGUAAGGGUGGAAAGGCGAGGUAAGAGCUCACCAGCAGCUAGGCGACUAGCUGGCUCUGUAAACCCCAUCUGGAGCAAGACCAAGCAGGGACUAAAAAAAGGUGGUGGCCCGCUACCGUCCCAAAGGUAGGUCGCUAGAACUUAUUGGCAACAAUAAGUCAUAGAUAGAUGAUCAUCUGAGACAGAACACGGCUUACAGAUUUACUCAUCAA